rnacentral:lncRNA from 1 species
GAGUGUCAGAAAGUAAGGAACGGCUAAAAGGAAAAUCCGCAAUGAUGGGAGUAGGCCAAAGGGAUACAGGAGCCAAAUGAAAGAGCUCCCAAUGACCAGAGCUGCAACAAUUUGAGCAAGAAGAUAAAUAGAGUAGUAUUGGAUUGUAACCUGAAGUAUAAAAAAAAUUCAUGAGUCCAUAAUGAUGUAAACACAUGAUUGAAUAAAUAUGCAGGGGAGAAAAGGCAAAUCCUGCAUGCAGAAGAAUUCCUAAUAAUUUAUGUAGAUCUUCCAUCCUCAAGAAGGUCCAGGUGGCCGCAGACUCUGCAUCUCUCACCAGCUCCCGGGUGAUGCUGAUGUUGCUGCUCCUGAGACACCAUGAUGAGCAGCGAGGAUCUCGGCGGUGGACCUGGCCCUGACCAAAAUGACUUGGUGUCCUUGGGAGCGAUGGGUUUGCCUCUCAACAUGACACACCUGGUCUACCCUGGCCUGGUCUGGCUGCGGAGCGGCACGCCCCGGCCGUGGAAGCUCAGACAGCAGCUGCACAAGCCUGCUUCCUCCACCAGUUUCUCAGGAGGGGACCCUGCCUCCCAACUGCUUAAGCUGCUCCCGGUCAGAGCGAAUGGAUCAUGAUUUAAUGAAGAGAGCCAUCUGUUACAGGGUAAAAAUCCUAAUUAAGCAAUAUAUGAAUCAGAACAGAAUUAGCCAUCAAGUCGUCAGAGUUCUGUAACCGCGGAGAGGAACACGGCGUCGUUGCCACAUGGAAUAGUCUUCCUCUAAGGAAACGCAAGACUGCAAAGGGAACCCCACUCCGUCCCCUGGGAGGAUGCAGCCCCGACAGCAGGGGUCAGAUUCUGGGGCAUUAACUGAAAUGGACAACGGCUUCCUGAGGAACCCUGGUGUCCUGAGUAAUGAACACCCCUGCUGUUUGUCCGGCAUGUCAGUUUGCCAAAUGCUUUCCCACCCAGGAGUACCUUGAACCCUCUGCCACUCACCCCCGUGGAUGGGGCUGAUGAUCACGGCCAUAGGGUCAGUGAAUCACUCAAGAGCCCACAGCCAGAAAGGAGACAAGUCAAGCCCAGAAUGCAGGCCAUUGGCCUCCACAUCCUGCC